rnacentral:lncRNA from 1 species
AUGGCUUUUUCAGCGCACACGCUACCCCACCGCUCAACCGCAGCCCAGCCCGCGGCCCCAGUCCUGCUGCAGGAACACGCGUUUACGACGGGGAAACCACCCCGGCCCUCGCUGCUUUUUGCCCCGCCGGCUGCCCCCGAGGCUGAGCGAGCAGCCGGGGGGUCCCGCCGUCGCUCCGAGGCUCCCUCCCCGCGGCGGCAGGAAGCGGGCUGGGAGAGGCGCGGCGGAGCAGGGCUUCCCCGCGCUUUGUUCUCCCCCAGCGUGCAGGGCGCCCGGCCGGCACGUGACAUCCUGUUCAUUCUUCGCUCCGCCGAUAAUUUCCGCCCCGGGUUCAGCGCAUGGCGGUGCCCUCCCGACCGUCUCACGCCGCUUCCACCUCGGCCAGGGGAGCCGUUUCCUCCGCCGGCGCCCAGAGCAGGCCUCGCAGGCCUGGAAGCGGCUCCCGCCGCGGAGUGGCACGUACCGGGAGGCAGCCGGCGCUCUGCGAUCCAUGCUGCUUCGUACCCAGUUUUUGGUUUGAAUCAAACCUUUAUGUUCAGUCCAGGGGGGAUUUCAGGCGGAGUCGGGCAGCUGAGAGCCGGAGCCGAGGGAGUUCCAACCCCCAUGGUCGGGUUUGGUUUCUUUUUUUUCUUUAAAGGAGUUACGGUCCGGUCCCUGCAAGGGAAUUUCAGACAAUGGAACGAGACAGAGCCCUACCAGAAGGGAAAAAAUAAGUUCCUAGUCUUAAUAAAUACGGCUUCCUGUGAGCGCUUGGAGGCCCUGCCGUCUUCCCCGGCUGAGGCAAACACCGGCAGCAGCGUAGCGUUUCUCCCGUUUCCCUACGGGGACAAGCCCCGGGGAUCUGAUGGCAGGGAGGAAUCCAUCUGGCAUCCGGAGAGCACCAAGGAGACGCAGCGCCUGGCUGCAGCCCCGUGUGAAAAGGGAUCCCACCUCUCCGCGUGGUUUCAGCGCCCGGUCGGGUUUCCCACCACGUGCCAUAAAGGAAUUUCUAGUUUUAAAAGCGAAGAAGUUGAAAUUAGGAGUAGAAACAUUUGGUAA